GAGUUUGAUCGUGGCUCAGAUUGAACGCUGGCGGCAUGCCUUACACAUGCAAGUCGAACGGCAGCACGGGAGCUUGCUCCUGGUGGCGAGUGGCGAACGGGUGAGUAAUGCAUCGGAACGUAUCCUGGAGUGGGGGAUAACGUAGCGAAAGUUACGCUAAUACCGCAUAUUCUGUGAGCAGGAAAGCGGGGGACCUUCGGGCCUCGCGCUCUUGGAGCGGCCGAUGUCGGAUUAGCUAGUUGGUGAGGUAAAGGCUCACCAAGGCGACGAUCCGUAGCAGGUCUGAGAGGAUGAUCUGCCACACUGGAACUGAGAC
rnacentral:rRNA from 1 species